rnacentral:rRNA from 1 species
CCUACGGGCGGCUGCAGUGAGGAAUAUUGGUCAAUGGGCGCGAGCCUGAACCAGCCAAGUAGCGUGAAGGAUGACUGCCCUACGGGUUGUAAACUUCUUUUAUAAAGGAAUAAAUUGAUGCACGUGCGCCUUUUUGUAUGUACUUUAUGAAUAAGGAUCGGCUAACUCCGUGCCAGCAGCCGCGGUAAUACGGAGGAUCCGAGCGUUAUCCGGAUUUAUUGGGUUUAAAGGGAGCGUAGAUGGGUUGUUAAGUCAGUUGUGAAAGUUCGCGGCUCAACCGUAAAAUUGCAAUUGAUACUGGCAAUCUAGAGUACAGGUGAGGUAGGCGGAAUGCAUGGUGUAGCGGUGAAAUGCUUAGAUAUCAGGAAGAACACCGAUUGCGAAGGCAGCUUACUAAACUGCAACUGACAUUGAUGCUCGAAAGUGUGGGUAUCAAACAGGAUUAGAUACCCGUGUAGUC